GAUGAACGCUGGCGGCGUGCUUAACACAUGCAAGUCGAACGAUGAAGCCCAGCUUGCUGGGUGGAUUAGUGGCGAACGGGUGAGUAACACGUGAGUAACCUGCCCUUGACUCUGGGAUAAGCCUGGGAAACUGGGUCUAAUACUGGAUAUGACUUCUCAUCGCAUGGUGGGGGGUGGAAAGAUUUAUUGGUCUUGGAUGGACUCGCGGCCUAUCAGCUUGUUGGUGAGGUAAUGGCUCACCAAGGCGACGACGGGUAGCCGGCCUGAGAGGGUGACCGGCCACACUGGGACUGAGACACGGCCCAGACUCCUACGGGAGGCAGCAGUGGGGAAUAUUGCACAAUGGGCGCAAGCCUGAUGCAGCGACGCCGCGUGAGGGAUGACGGCCUUCGGGUUGUAAACCUCUUUCAGUAGGGAAGAAGCGAGAGUGCCGGUACCUGCAGAAGAAGCGCCGGCUAACUACGUGC
rnacentral:rRNA from 1 species